CCUACGGGGGGCAGCAGUGGGGAAUAUUGCACAAUGGGCGCAAGCCUGAUGCAGCCAUGCCGCGUGUGUGAAGAAGGCCUUCGGGUUGUAAAGCACUUUCAGCGGGGAGGAAGGCGGUGAGGUUAAUAACCUCAUCGAUUGACGUUACCCGCAGAAGAAGCACCUGCUAACUCCGUGCCAGCAGCCGCGGUAAUACGGAGGGUGCAAGCGUUAAUCGGAAUUACUGGGCGUAAAGCGCACGCAGGCGGUCUGUCAAGUUGGAUGUGAAAUCCCCGGGCUCAACCUGGGAACUGCAUUCGAAACUGGCAGGCUAGAGUCUUGUAGAGGGGGGUAGAAUUCCAGGUGUAGCGGUGAAAUGCGUAGAGAUCUGGAGGAAUACCGGUGGCGAAGGCGGCCCCCUGGACAAAGACUGACGCUCAGGUGCGAAAGCGUGGGGAGCAAACAGGAUUAGAUACCCCGGUAGUC
rnacentral:rRNA from 1 species